GACGAACGCUGGCGGCGUGCUUAACACAUGCAAGUCGAACGGAAAGGCCCUGCUUUUGUGGGGUGCUCGAGUGGCGAACGGGUGAGUAACACGUGAGUAACCUGCCCUUGACUUUGGGAUAACUUCAGGAAACUGGGGCUAAUAUCGGAUAGGAGCUCCUGCUGCAUGGUGGGGGUUGGAAAGUUUCGGCGGUUGGGGAUGGACUCGCGGCUUAUCAGCUUGUUGGUGGGGUAGUGACUUACCAAGGCUUUGACGGGUAGCCGGCCUGAGAGGGUGACCGGCCACAUUGGGACUGAGAUACGGCCCAGACUCCUACGGGAGGCAGCAGUGGGGAAUAUUGCACAAUGGGCGGAAGCCUGAUGCAGCAACGCCGCGUGCGGGAUGACGGCCUUCGGGUUGUAAACCGCUUUCGCCUGUGACGAAGCGUGAGUGACGGUAAUGGGUAAAGAAGCACCGGCUAACUACGUG
rnacentral:rRNA from 1 species